AUGAAGUUACAACUUUUUCUUUUUCAAACAUACUCACAUUGGAAUGCUUUCCCCUGUAUCUAAAAUUACACUUGGAGGUCUCAGCAUAUAACUCUUAGCACGAAAUCUAGGUUCCUUUAAACUACCAGCAAUCAUGAGCAACUAUGUGUGAUAUUCUAAAGUAAAUGUUUAGACCAGAAACAAAAAAUUGAACCCACAUCUCAGAAGCAAUUUCCUAAACAAUUGAAUCGGGGAGGAGGUAGAACAUCUGUAUAACUAGGAAUUGUCUAGCUAGCCUAUUUCCAGUUAAAUGCAAAAAGGAAAAAAAAAUGUCUUUACCUCCUGGAUGAGAUAGAAAACUCCUGAUAGAAAACCUGUAAAGUUACAUAACUCUUCUAACAUCACUCCUUAUGGAUAAAUACUAUGUAUACCUUCAGGGAUGCUGGCACGCAUACCUAAGUUGGCAUGUAUAAAUACUUAGCACAUGUUAGGCGGCCUGCAGUACCUUUUCUCUUACACAUUAUUCAUGAGGCUAAUCAGUAGCUAGAACUGGACACUUCCAAAUGUUUGGAUUUUUCCCCCAAAAGCAGAAAGUAAGUCUAUUAAUAAGUCUUUACUACACUUCUAAUUUGAUUAAAAAAGAAAGACAUUCAGCCCCUCAGAUAUGUGCUAGAACUGACUUGUGCAGACACAGGAUAGAUACUGGAAUAGGGAGGGUCCCAGGUACACAGAAGGCCUGUUGAUCUCCUCUCAUGGUUCUAGUGGCUGAAGAGAAAUAAGACGCCAAGCUCUGAGAUGAAGAGCCUUAAGUACCUCAAGAGAGUCACGAAGUGCUUUUUCCAUUGAGAAAAGAGAAAUUACUCCUGGCUAGGAGAGAUGAAGGAAGAGUUCAUGACUUUUGCACUUAAGCAAGUAGUAUGAGAAUGGAAGGCAUUUGAACACAUGGGAAUGAGCUAGAUAAGAGUGGUGCCUGAGCUGGCUGGCAUGUCCAGCCAUGAUGGAGGUAACCAUGUGUCAACCUUUCUUUAGUUUCCACAUCCACAAUGAUACUUAGUUGUACUGUCGUACCACUAUUAACAGAUGAGGAAGCAGUGGCCAGAGGAGUUAAGUGACUUAUCCAAGAACAUUGAUCUAAACUGAACUAACAUGUUCUUAUGGAAAUGAGUUUAGAUCUAAAACAGUAACUGCAGAUAAAACUUAGAACAGAGUGAGAUUAGGCUGCCAUGAUAAAGACUUUGAAUCACAUAUUAUAGUUCAAAGAUUGGUAAAUAAGAGCCUAUGAGCCAAAUCUGGUUUACUCCCAGCACUUGUGAAUAAAGAGGAUUAUUAGAACAUAGCGCUGCCUGGCCCCCUUCUUCCCUGUGUGUGUUAAUAUUGUACUACAGUAAGAGCAUCUACAACACAACCUACAACCCCAAACACAGAACUAUUUACUCUCUGGCCCUUGGUCAGAAGUAUUUUCUGACCAAUGCUCUCGCUGACUGGGGAUCAUUUGAAAGUGUUGGAGAAAGGAAGCCACAUUCUUAGAGUCAUGCAUUACUAACUGGGGCCAUCUUAAUCUGUAGAAUGGAUUGAAAGGAGCUAGGUUAUUUUAACACUGCUUCAGCGGUCUGGGCUCUCAUCCUGUCCCCCAUGCAGCCUUUCUUUAAGUCUCCUUGCCAAAACUCCAAGAUUUUCAGAGUCUAGAUGGUGAUAAAGGUGGGUGAAGUGAGCUAAGUGCUAGGAAACCAAACAGUACAAGGACGUUGGCAGAGAGCACUGAUCUGUGCCGAGGAUGUGACGGCAGUGCUGAGACAUGCCACAGACGGAGUUGGUCCUACUGUACCUGAUGAGUCUCCCAUUUUGGAAAAACUCCACUCUGGUGUGAUAGGGAAGUAGUUAAAAAUGGUCAUAACACCAGUAAUGUAUAUAAACCUUAAAAGCAGUUUCCACUGAAUCUACUCUACCCACUAAGUACUCACUUAUGUAACUGGCCCCUGGUAGAGUGUCACGGAGGGGACAGCAUUGUGGGUUAGUUCCGACUCUCUCGUGAUGUCUUAACCUACAUAACCCUUCCCUGGCUUCAAUUAUGGAUAUCCAGAUGACCCCAAGAGGCCAAGAUGGUCACGGGCCACCGAGAGACUCAGGAAGUGAGAGGGUGGUGCUAAGCUGAAGCCAGGUGGAAGGCCAACUCUGAAAGCAGGGACCAGACCUGACAGGUAGAAGAAAGGAAUAAUGAAAAAUUAGCCAAAAAUGUUCCCUUUAAGUUAGGGACCCUGGGAUAGAUGGUUCUUGUUCUUUGAACAGAAUCCUAGCUGGAAAAAAAACAAAAAACAAAAAUAAAAACAAAAACCC
rnacentral:lncRNA from 1 species